AAAUACUCCCGAGAGACCGAUAGUGAACCAGUACUGUGAAGGAAAGGUGAAAAGCACUUCGAACAGAAGAGUGAAAUAGUUCCUGAAACCAUGCGCCUACAAGCGGUCGGAGCUCUUAUGAGUGACGGCGUGCCUUUUGCAUAAUGAACCUACGAGUUACUUUUUCCGGCAAGGUUAAGGGUCUUGAGACCUGCAGCCGAAGCGAAAGCGAGUCUUAACAGGGCGUUCAGUCGGA
rnacentral:ncRNA from 1 species